rnacentral:rRNA from 1 species
UACAGAGGGUGCGAGCGUUAAUCGGAAUUACUGGGCGUAAAGCGUGCGUAGACGGCUAUCUAAGUCGGGUGUGAAAGCCCCGGGCUCAACCUGGGAAUUGCAUUCGAGACUGCUCUGCUAGGGUGCGGAAGAGGGGAGCGGAAUUUCCGGUGUAGCGGUGAAAUGCGUAGAUAUCGGAAGGAACACCAGUGGCGAAAGCGGCUCCCUGGUCCAGCACCGACGUUCAGGCACGAAAGCGUGGGGAGCAAACAGG